AUGUAGUCAUACAAGUAUGUCAUCGUUCUAUGUCUGACUUGCUUAAAUGAUUUCAGAAACCUGCAUCCUCUGGACCUUCAACCACAACAGCUUCACCCUCUAGUCUGAUGAGUACUAAAAUCUUGUCCCCGUCUGGCUUAUGAGAUAAAUUCUCUGUUGUGUUUACCUUGUAUUCUCUUUUCAAAAAGAAGAAAUAACCUCUCUAUUUUGUUGGCAAUUAACCCCUACUCCAGCUGCAUCGACAACACCUACUCCAGCUCCUGCAUCAACGGCACCUGCUUCAGCUCCUGUAUCUCCACCUUCACCCACCAGCACUCCUGAUUCUAGUGUCACUGCUGUCAGCACUGAGGGAGAUGUCUAUGGGCAAGCUGCAUUUAGUCUUUCGCUGGAAAUAACUUUGAGGCGGCGGUCAUUUAACAAAUCAUUGACAUGGGAGGGGGUACUUGGGAUAGGGAUACUGUAAUCCGUGCUCUACAGGCUGCUGUUGACUAUCUAUACUCUGUAAGUUGGCUUCACUUUUGGAGCACUUAGUAUAAAAGGAGAAUUUGCUUCAUCGGUAACCUAUUACUAGCAUUACUUUCCUGUGCUACAUUGUUAGCAUUCUAGCAUGAAUGUUAUGCAUCUACUUUUCAUGAAUGUUAUGAAAUGUUACUUUCCUGUGCUGCUUCCUACAUCAGGGUAUUCCCGAACAAGCAGUAGUUCAACCUGUUGCCCAACAGUGGGCGCUGUGAAUGCUCCUGCUCAGGCACCACAACUUACACAGCCAGUUCCUUAAUCCCGUAGAUUUAUUUCCUCAGUGAUACGGAACGACUCUAUAUUGGCAAACUCGGAUCAAAAUAGGUCUAUGAAGCAGCCAAAACAUGUACAUGUGAACAAGAACACCACGAAUAUGAAUGAAGAAGGAAAGAGAUGCUUAAUGUUUUGCCUUUGAAUUAAGUUAGAAAGAUGCAAAUUUGCAAUUAUAAACUACCUUAACACAAAAGCUAAGAAUAAAUUGUAGUAAUGAACAAAUCCUAGUCUAA